ensembl:lncRNA
GUGACCCGGGAACUCAGUGCUCCGUGGUGGCCUAAAUGGGAAGGAAGUCUAAAGAAAGAGGCCAUGUGUGCUUGCAGCGGAAACUGACAACACUGUAAAGCAACUGCACUCCAAGAGAAAAGAGACUGAUUCGUGUAGUGACUGAGCGCUGGGCAGUCUGAAACGUGCAGGGUGAGCUGCAGACCCAGGGAAGAGUGGCUGUUGACCUUGGGCCUGAAGGCCAUCUCCUGGCAGAACCCCCUCUUCUUCAGGGGACCCCAGUCUUUUCCUCUUAAGGCUUUCUAACUGAGUGAAGGAGGCCCACUCACAUCAUGGAGGAUAAUCUGCUUUACUCAAAUUCUACCAGUUUCAAUGUUAAUCUCACCCGAAAACUAUCUUCGUGGCAGCAUCUAGACUGACUGUAUAACCAAAAUUAUCUGGGUGCCCUGACCUCACCAAGCUGACACAUGAAAUUAAUGGUCAGAGGCGGUGGGCCUGGUACACAGAGAAGCCCUCUAACAAGCUCUGUGGCGUCCUGACGCCUUUCUGGAGAGUAAGUGUCUCUGAGAAGCAUUCUCCGGCCACUUUUACUGAGCACAUCAGUUACGUAAUGGGGGAAAUUCAGAUAACUGGACACCAACUAGGUUCUGGUGCGUUUGUAAAGUUUCAAAGAAGCAGAAACAAUCAUCAUUUUCCUUUUCUGGAUAAUGAAGCUGGCUUUGAAAUAUAUGAAUAUCAGAAGAGUGUCCUGAGGCAAAGCAGAUAUACCACUGUUUAAGGAAACGAUCCAAUUUGGGAGCAAGAACUGUGCUUUCCAUUGGCGUACAGGGGAAACACUGACUGAAACCACCCCCCUUGGCCAGGAAAGAUAGUAGCCACUUGCACAAGGAUUCUUAACAACAGGAAGACCUGGGAAGGAAUGUGGAACUAACAAGCUACUACCGACUGGAAGAAUUCAGGAAUGGCCCAAAGGAGACACCACCUGUCCUACCUACCAACCUCCCACAAUCCUCCUUGCUGGAAUCCAUCUGGCUGAGUGACGGGUGCACCGCUAGGCAGGACCCUGAGUCAGUGAUUGGCCAGAGACAACCCUGGAAGUAAUCCCAACACCGUAAAACCCAAGACCAGGGGGCAGAGCCAUCCUCCUGGGCUCUCCUUCCCAACAGUCUCCUGCUUUGUCAGCCCCUGUGUCUCCUAGAACAAUUCAUUUCCAAGUGUUAGACAAGAGCCCCCUCUUAUCCUGGAAGGGAUCCACCUUCCUGCCAAAGAUCUGUCUUUGCAGGGCCCUAGAGAACCAAGGAGGGUGGGGGGAAAGGUUUUGAUCCUUUCCCUACAAUAAUAAAGCAUGCUGUUACAAAUAUUAAUACUUUCUCCUCCUCUAUUCUAUUUUCUAAGUAAUACACUCUUACCCUCACCCACUUAUAAUGCUAAAUAUUUAAU